UCAUGGCUCAGAUUGAACGCUGGCGGCAGGCCUAACACAUGCAAGUCGAACGGUAACAGGAAGAAGCUUGCUUCUUUGCUGACGAGUGGCGGACGGGUGAGUAAUGUCUGGGAAACUGCCUGAUGGAGGGGGAUAACUACUGGAAACGGUAGCUAAUACCGCAUAACGUCGCAAGACCAAAGAGGGGGACCUUCGGGCCUCUUGCCAUCGGAUGUGCCCAGAUGGGAUUAGCUAGUAGGUGGGGUAACGGCUCACCUAGGCGACGAUCCCUAGCUGGUCUGAGAGGAUGACCAGCCACACUGGAACUGAGACACGGUCCAGACUCCUACGGGAGGCAGCAGUGGGGAAUAUUGCACAAUGGGCGCAAGCCUGAUGCAGCCAUGCCGCGUGUAUGAAGAAGGCCUUCGGGUUGUAAAGUACUUUCAGCGGGGAGGAAGGGAGUAAAGUUAAUACCUUUGCUCAUUGACGUUACCCGCAGAAGAAGCACCGGCUAACUCCGUGCCAGCAGCCGCGGUAAUACGGAGGGUGCAAGCGUUAAUCGGAAUUACUGGGCGUAAAGCGCACGCAGGCGGUUUGUUAAGUCAGAUGUGAAAUCCCCGGGCUCAACCUGGGAACUGCAUCUGAUACUGGCAAG
rnacentral:rRNA from 1 species